UUGAAAAGUUGGGAGAUGAGAUAGGUCUAGGGGUGAAAAGCCAAUCGAACUAGGAAAUAGCCCGUUCUCUCCGAAAUGCAUUUAGGUGCAGCCUGAAUCUUAGAUAACUGGGGGUAGAGCACUGUAUGAUCUAGGGGGCGUACUGCUUACCGAAAUCAAGCAAACUGCGAAUACCAUUUAUUACUGAUUCGGAGUGAGUCCGUGGAUGACAAGGUCCGCGGACGAGAGGGGAACAGCCCAGACCACCAGCUAAGGUCCCAAAUUAUGUCUAAGUGGGAAAGGAGGUGGAUAUUCACAGACAACCAGGAGGUUGGCUUAGAAGCAGCCAUGCCUUGAAAGAGUGCGUAAUAGCUCACUGGUCGAGAGUAUCUGCGCCGAAGAUGUAACGGGGCUGAAGACAUAAACCGAAGCUGUGGAAGCGGCCAUGCCGCUUGGUAGGAGAGCGUUCUGUAGGUCUGCGAAGGCUGGCCGGAAGGCCUGCUGGAGACAUCAGAAGCGAGAAUGCAGGAAUGAGUAGCGAGAAGGAGGGCGAGAAUCCCUCCGGCCGGAAGUCCAAGGUUUCCGGGGGAAGGUUUGUCCGCCCCGGGGAAGUCGGGACCUAAGCGUAAGCAGAGAUGUGAUUGCGAAUGGGAAACAGGUUAAUAUUCCUGUACCGCUGCCAGUCGCCUGAGUGACGGAGUGACGCAGCAAGGUAUGUGAGAAGGCUGACGGAAUAGCCUUUCUAAAGGCGUAGCCUGGGCACGCAGGAAAAUCCGCGUGCCUAAAGGUGAGACCCUAUGGGCAAGUGCUCCUGCACAAGUCACAGAUCCUACACUGCCAAGAAAAACUUCUAGCGAGACUGGACAGCGCCCGUACCCUAAACCGACACAGGUGGACAGAGUGAGAAACUUAAGGCCGACAGGAUAACUCUAGCUAAGGAACUCUGCAAAAUAGCCCCGUAACUUCGGGAGAAGGGGUGCCUGACAUACCUGAAGAGAGAGACGCUCCUAGGGGAAACAGGCCGCAGUGAAGAGUCUCAAGCAACUGUUUACCAAAAACACAGGUCUAUGCUAAGCUGGAAGGCGACGUAUAUGGGCUGACACCUGCCCAGUGCCGGAAGGUUAAGAGGAGGAGUGAGAGCUCCGAUUUGAAGCCCCGGUGAACGGCGGCCGUAACUAUAACGGUCCUAAGGUAGCGAAAUUCCUUGUCGGGUAAG
rnacentral:rRNA from 1 species